CUGUCCCGAGCUGGGCGAGUGCUGCAUAACCUGCAACCAGUUCCCCUCAGGAUGGAGCUACACGUCCUGCCAUCAUGACAUAAGUCAAAGAAAUACUGACAAUGUUAUAAAAUACAGUCGCAACAGCUGGUAACCUUUCUUGGUGAACGUAUGAAGCGACAGUGAUUAUUCAACGGUGUGCAGGACUACAGAGU
rnacentral:ncRNA from 1 species